UGACUGUCAGGCCACCUUAAGCCACAGUACGGAAGAAGCUGUGCUGCCUGUGAGCCCCGUCCAAGGACGUUAAAAGAAGAAGUCAGGCCCCAAAGCCACGGUUUGAGCAAACCGUGCUGCCUGUAGCUCCGUCGUGGGGACGUAAAAACCUGGGAGGCUGCAAACUGUGGAAGCUGUACGCACAGUGUAGCAGACUAGUGGUUAGAGGAGACCCCUCCCAUGACACAACGCAGCAGCGGGGCCCGAGCACUGAGGGAAGCUGUACCUCCUUGCAAAGGACUAGAG
rnacentral:lncRNA from 1 species